GGGAUGACACAGUAGGAUAAGCUAAGCACACUGUUGGUUAUGUGUGCCCAAGCAUUGAGGCAGUCAAAGUAGGUAAAUCCGCUUUGAUAAUGCUGGGAUGUGAUGGGGAGCGAAAUUUAGUAGCGAAGUAGCUGAUUUCACACUGUCAAGAAAAGUCUCUAUCGAGGUUAAAGGUACCCGUACCGCAAACCGACACAGGGGGGUGAGGAGAGUAUCCUAAGGCCAGCGAGAGAACUGUUGUUAAGGAACUCGG
rnacentral:rRNA from 1 species